CUCAGUUGCUCUGUUAAACAGCAAAAUUCCCAAGUCCUCAUCUCAAUGAGCCACUGAGGCCGAUGAAGAGGGCCUGUCUCAUUUAGGACAUGAGUGGCCAGGCGGGUGCCACAGGCCCUUUUCCUGGUGACAACAAAGCCAUUGCAUGGCUCCAGGAAGGCCACAUCAUUUCCUGGGUUUCGUAGGCGCCUGCGGGGCGGAAACAGUUCAGCAGGGCCCUCCUGAUCACAAGGACGAGGUCAUACCGGCUGCUGCAUGGCAGGGCUGCACUCUGCCAGGGAGCGUCCUGUGAUGGAGGGGCUGCACUGCCACUUUACUGAUGAGGAAAUUAAGGUUCAGAGAGAUGAGGUCAUUUCUUAGAGGCCAGACAGCCUCCUCAGCCCAUUUAUAAGGUUGUUUCUGUGGUAUUUGCCAUAAAGCCAUAGGUUCAUUGAUUUGUUCUUAAGUAGUUCUGAGCCCUUCCUGCAUAUCAGGCAGGGACAAACAGGAAAGUCCCUGCCUUUGGCAAGUGCGGGGGAAAUGAAAUGAUUCUGCUUAGCCGCAUCCAUUGGUCUGAACAAUCACGUCUCAUGACCGCAGGGACGCGGCUUCCCCUGAAUGCGGAUCCUAGAGGCCAGGCAGAAGCAGCAUGGGUUUCCACUCACACGGUUGACUCACAGUUUGGAGCAAGAAUUAAAGAACCACGAACUUCAAGGUGAUGUAAAAUUCUCAAACAAUGAGAUAGAUAAAAAGUACGCAGCCAAAAAGUUCAAGAAGAAGUGUUAUGGAGAUGGAGCAGGCCCUUCGUAAAAACACGAUGUUGGUUUUCUGGAUUUUGUAUGUUUGCUUUUUUUUUUUCCUCAUCCUAAAGAAAUAUUCACUGUCAUACCUAAUU
rnacentral:lncRNA from 10 species